UGGUUGAUCCUGCCGGAGGCUACCGCUAUUGGAGUUCGAUUAAGCCAUGCGAGUAGAAAGAAAUCAGAUUCUUUGCGUACCGCUCAGUAACACGUGGGUAACCUGCCCUAUGCUUGGGAAUAACCUCGGGAAACUGAGAAUAAUGCCCAAUAGUCCACUACGCCUGGAACGGUGAGUGGAUCAAAGCUUCGGCGGCAUAGGAUGGGCCUGCGCCGUAUCAGGUUGUAGGGGGUGUAAAGUACUCUCUAGCCAUCAACGCGUACGGGUGUUGGGAGACAUUGCCCGGAGAUGGAUUCUGAGACACGAAUCCAGACCCUACGGGGUGCAGCAGGCGCGAAAACUUGGCAAUGCGAGCAAUCGUGACCAGGGAACUCCAAGUGCGUAGGGUAAGACCUACGCUUUUCUUGACUCUUCAAAGGUCUUGGAAUAAGGGGUGGGUAAGGACGGUGCCAGCCGCCGCGGUAAUACCGGCGCCUCAAGUGGUAGUCGCUUUUAUUGGGCCUAAAACGUCCGUAGCCGGUCUGGUGCAUUCGUGGGUAAAUCAACCCGCUCAACGGGUUGAAUUCUGCGAGCACGGCCAGACUUGGGACCGGGAGAGGUGUGGGGUACUCUCAGGGUAGGGGUAAAAUCCUGUCAUCCUGAGAGGACCACCUGUUGCGAAGGCGCCACACUAGAACGGAUCCGACGGUCAGGGACGAAACCUAGGGGCACGAACCGGAUUAGAUACCCGGGUAGUCCUAGGUGUAAACGCUGUGGACUUGAUGUUGGGGGUGCUCCGAGCUCCCUCAGUGUCGAAGCGAAGGUGAUAAGUCCACUGCCUGGGGAGUACGGUCGCAAGGCUGAAACUUAAAGGAAUUGGCGGGGGAGCACUGCAACCUGAGGAUUGUGCGGUUUAAUUGGACUCAACGCCGGGA
rnacentral:rRNA from 1 species